CGCCCGGUCUGCCGGCAACGCUGCGGCCCCGCCCACGUCAUGGCGCCCGAGGAGAACGCAGGGACCGAACUCUUGCUGCAGAGUUUCGAGCGCCGCUUCCUGGCGGCGCGCACACUGCGCUCCUUCCCCUGGCAGAGCUUAGAAGCAAAGUUAAGAGACUCAUCAGAUUCCGAGCUGCUGCGGGAUAUUUUGCACAAGACUGUGAAGCAUCCUGUGUGUGUGAAGCACCCGCCGUCCGUCAAAUAUGCCCGGUGCUUUCUCUCAGAACUCAUCAAAAAGCACGAGGCUGUCCACACAGAGCCUUUGGACGAGCUGUACGAGGCGCUGGCGGAGACCCUGAUGGCCAAGGAGUCCACCCAAGGCCACCGGAGCUAUUUGCUGCCCUCGGGAGGCUCGGUCACACUCUCCGAGAGCACGGCCAUCAUCUCCCACGGUACCACAGGCCUGGUCACAUGGGACGCCGCCCUCUACCUUGCAGAAUGGGCCAUCGAGAACCCGGCAGCCUUCACUAACAGGUGACCUCGGGGCGCAGGGCAGGGCACCGAGGCAGGCUUACCCUGGUGCAGUCGCAGACACGGUCCCCUUUCCUCCCGCCAGGACUGUCCUAGAGCUUGGCAGUGGUGCUGGCCUCACAGGCCUGGCCAUCUGCAAGAUGUGCCGCCCCCGGGCAUACAUCUUCAGCGACUGUCACAGCCGGGUCCUUGAGCAGCUCCGAGGGAAUGUCCUUCUCAAUGGCCUCUCAUUAGAGGCAGACAUCACUGCCAAGUUAGACAGCCCCAGGGUGACAGUGGCCCAGCUGGACUGGGACGUCGCGACGGUCCAUCAGCUCUCUGCCUUCCAGCCAGAUGUUGUCAUUGCAGCAGACGUGCUGUAUUGCCCAGAAGCCAUCGUGUCGCUGGUCGGGGUCCUGCAGAGGCUGGCUGCCUGCCGGGAGCACCAGCGGG
rnacentral:sRNA from 1 species